AGCCACAUCACACUGAAAUACCAGUUUCCAUACAAUCACUGAAGUUAAGCAACAUUGAGCCUGGUCAGUACCUAGAUGGGUGACCACUUAGGAAGACCAGCUGCUGUAAG
rnacentral:rRNA from 1 species